rnacentral:rRNA from 1 species
CCUACGGGAGGCAGCAGUGAGGAAUAUUGGUCAAUGGACGAGAGUCUGAACCAGCCAAGUAGCGUGAAGGAUGACUGCCCUAUGGGUUGUAAACUUCUUUUAUAUGGGAAUAAAAUGUUCCACGUGUGGGAUUUUGUAUGUACCAUAUGAAUAAGGAUCGGCUAACUCCGUGCCAGCAGCCGCGGUAAUACGGAGGAUCCGAGCGUUAUCCGGAUUUAUUGGGUUUAAAGGGAGCGUAGGUGGAUUGUUAAGUCAGUUGUGAAAGUUUGCGGCUCAACCGUAAAAUUGCAGUUGAAACUGGCAGUCUUGAGUACAGUAGAGGUGGGCGGAAUUCGUGGUGUAGCGGUGAAAUGCUUAGAUAUCACGUAGAACUCCGAUUGCGAAGGCAGUUCACUGGACUGCAACUGACACUGAGGCUCGAAAGUGUGGGUAUCAAACAGGAUUAGAUACCCCAGUAGUC